UACGAAGGGGGCUAGCGUUGUUCGGAAUUACUGGGCGUAAAGCGCACGUAGGCGGCUCUUUAAGUCGGAGGUGAAAUCCUGGAGCUCAACUCCAGAACUGCCUUCGAUACUGUAGAGCUUGAGUUCGGGAGAGGUGAGUGGAACUGCGAGUGUAGAGGUGAAAUUCGUAGAUAUUCGCAAGAACACCAGUGGCGAAGGCGGCUCACUGGCCCGAUACUGACGCUGAGGUGCGAAAGCGUGGGGAGCAAACAGG
rnacentral:rRNA from 1 species